AUCGAACGCUAGCGGGAUGCUUUACACAUGCAAGUCGAACGAGUGGCGGACGGGUGAGUAAUAUAUCGGAACGUGCCCAGUAGCGGGGGAUAACUACUCGAAAGAGUGGCUAAUACCGCAUACUAUUGUAGCAGACGAUAUCGGAUUAGCUAGUUGGUGGGGGAAAGGCUCACCAAGGCCACGAUCGUUAGCUGGUUUGAGAGGACGACCGGCCACAAUGGGACUGAGAGUCGGCCCAGACUCCUACGGGAGGCAGCAGUGGGGAAUUUUGGACAAUGGGGGAAACGCUGAUCCUGCCAUACCGCGUGUAUGAGAAGGCCUUCGGGUGGUAAAGUACUUUUGGCAGUGAAGCGGUAUCUGCAGAAUAAGCACCGGCUAACUACGUGCCAGCCGCCGCGGUAAUUC
rnacentral:rRNA from 1 species